AUGAUUAUUUUUCUUUAUUUACCCUGGUAUUAUAUUAUAUUAUACCUGGUGUUCAUAUACUAUUGACUUAAAGAAAUUUAGAUUGUAGACAACAUGAUUAGCGUCUUGAAACAAAAC